rnacentral:tRNA from 1 species
GCCCCGGUAGCUCAGCAGGACAGAGCGUCCCCCUCCUAAGGGGAAGGUCACACGUUCAAGUCGUGUCCGGGGCGCCA